rnacentral:sRNA from 1 species
CUUUUUUUGUUAUAAUUAUGGAGUAGAAGUUAAAGGGCGGUAGCCGACUGGAGGUGAUGCUUAUGAGUAUUUCGUGAGCUAACCUCACAAAACAGAAAGGCGAAAAAUUUGUCAGUAUAUCAAGCAUUGUCAUUAAUGAUUGCAUUUGCAACGUUAAUACUUAUGCUCAAUGAUAAGAA